UGUGUGCGUGGUUGCUAGCUGCUGCUGGGCACCAGGCCAUGGCCUCUGCUGUACGCAACUAUGAUUUCUAAAGAAUGCAGUUUGCUUGCUGCUGACCUGUUGAUGUUGCUGCCAGGGAGAAAUAGACAUGGCAUCUGCGGGUCAAUCUUCAGUUGAGAGGCUGGGAAGCACCAAGCAUAUAUCAUUUGGUAAGUAAGGUACAAACUAACUUGUUUAUUGUUUCCAACUUUUCAUGCUUAAUAUUCUGUAUAUUUCAAAUUCUAAUACUAGCAGAUGUGUUUUGCAAGUCGCACGAGGAUUGAGUAAAUUGAUGAUCAUUCAGUCAUCAAGGAGACGAGAACUUGAUGAAAAGAGGCAUUGGAUGCAGCAUAUGGGGCAGUAUUUUGAUCUCAUCUAAUGGAUGUAUUUAUUGUUUGUCCUUAUAACAUGGUAUUUUAUUAAUUAUUUAUCUAUACUUG
rnacentral:lncRNA from 1 species